rfam:Dipodomys ordii contig_15499, whole genome shotgun sequence.
ACAUAGUGAGUGGUCUGGCUAUGACAUCUGUCUUUCCAUUGAUUUCCAGAGUUGAUUAAACUGAUCAGGCUGUCUAGAUGUAUGUUUCCUUCUUCCUUCACCACUGCAAGUGUAUCCCUUUCUAAGUUAUGUGUUCCUUCUCCAAUAGAGGAAGGCUGUUCUUUAGUCCAAGGUAUGUGAGCAGCUGGGUUCCCCUAACUGGAAGCUCUAAAUAAGUGUUCAAGAAGUAUAUAGUACAACUGGACAUGUUGCUACAUGCUUACAAUUCAGGCACUUGGGUAGACCAAGGCAGGAGAAUUUUGAGAUUGUGGCCUGGCUAAGCUAGAUUGUGAGACCCUGUAAGUUUCUGUCUGUCUGUCUU